rnacentral:lncRNA from 1 species
ACGGAUCCUCCCAUUGUUGUGUCGUAGUUAGUCACCCAUUGCGAAUGAAAUGAUGUCAAAAAUCAGCUUCGAUCAAAAAUUUAAGACUUACAUCAACCACCCGGAACGACACUGCUUAAAAAUUACUUUGGACACCCACGCACUCUUGCUCUAAGAUCCAGUGGGUUUUAUUCCACUGCUACCACUUCCACCAACUCCACACAACUGCUAUAGAAUACCUAUGACAACACGAAUAAAUUCACCAGGUGUUGUCGUAAAACUGAAAUGACCACAACCAUUUCGCUCUCACUCCACCAUUACUUUUCAAUUCAAUUUACAUUAUCAUCUUCCAAACACUCAACAAAUCUGGAAACCAAACUUCAACACCUGGAAUUCCGAAAGAAUCCAUACUGGCUCCACGAUUAAAAUAAUAUAACUGACAUCUCACUCCACACUUCCAAACUUGCUUGAAACUCAACAUUUAGUGCCAUCAAUAAAAUUUAAAAAAAUUCUCCGACUGUGGCACAACAAGAAGUUGUCACAACGCACUGACGAAUGACUUUUGUAAAACCAACAAUCCAAGUCAUUCUACUUAGUGCUUUAACAAACUUCAACUAACCCACAAUAGAGACCAAAAUCAUCAGAAAUCUUACUAUUCAUCGACUAUUAUUAUCCGUCAUUUCCAAAAGAUAUUACCACCACUAUCUUAAUAAAUUGCUCAAAAGAUAAAAACUUAUCCAUAAUUAAAGUUGUAGGAACCAAAAUACGUGCUGACAUAACCAGCAUUAUUCCAAAAUGUUCCCAACUGCUUUCUACUGCGGAUAAACAUAGUCGGUAAAUUGGCCUUCAAUCAUGACUUAUCUAAUUUGACAUUUAACUUUUUAUGUAAUAACUUUCUGCAACCCAACACUAGUCACAGAUCCCAUGUGACUAACUCGCUCAGAAUUAUGGUCCUCAACAACUUGUAAAGGUACCCCUUGGAAUUACUAUGGGUACCUCCCUCAUCACUUCAAUCAACCUUUACCUCAAAAGAAUACACCACUUAUUUCAAACUUUCCUUCCAACUCUUUUAUCCCAGAAAUCACGCAAUUCGAUACCACGAUUUUUCCUAUCGGACUACUACAACUUCACACUUGCCCACUAUAAAUAGUGAACUCCAAGGCUUG